CUGCAGAUAUUUAGAAAAUUGGAAUCUUUACAUGUGUGAAAAUCCAUCUAAACAAUGCCCACUAGAACGUACCUUCAAUCCAGAUAAGAUCAUACAUCUCAAAGGAGCUUUUAAUCACCAAAAAGCCUCUGACACACAAUGGGAGCAAUUUGUCUAUUGAGGAAAGGAACGGGUUAAUUUGAAAUUCAGAUUGGCCCAGAGAUAAAGAGAAAGCUGCUCUGCAUUCAAGGUCAAGAAUCAACACAGACCAUGCCAAGUACAAAGCAAAACUGCUUUUAGCCCCAGCUGGUUGUGAAAAAAUAUAGACAGAGGCAAACCAAAGGCAACACAAGUUACAGGACUGAGAUUACAUUUGCAAAGCUUAACUGUUCAGUGAGAUCCAACAGUCUGGCUUUGCGACCCUGGAGCCGGCGUGGUUUGGGGACGCUGAAGAAGCCACAGGCAGCCGGCCUGGACUGGAAUCUCUGAAGAGACGCUGCAGGAGACCCCAGGGUGUAAAAGAACUGCCCUCCCAGGAGUGGAAGCAAGUUGGAGAUUCUGGACAAGCUGUAUACAGGAUAAUCUCCUGUCCACCUCUCCCCCUUCUCUGGACGUUAUACACAGAUGUGGGACAUUAAUGUUUUUCUUCCCCUGAGUGAUGUGGGAGCGUUCCCAACACUCUCUGUUGUUGUUUAUUAUUUUAUUAAGGAAGCUUUAAAAUUCAGUCCUAUGGUGUGUUUUCUUUAUCUUCCCCCAACGAUCCUGCGGUGUCAGUCUGAUCACCUGACACGAGGGAUAGAUUGGUAACAGAAAUAUGUCAGUUUUGGUGGAAAUUGAGAAAGGGGGGAGCCCUGCAGAAUGCACACCAUCUAUUUGUUUUGCCCUUGUUAUUUUAUGUUUGCUUUGCUUGGUAUUGUUGGUGUUAUAUGUUGAGGAUUGCAUGAUUAAAAGUGUGCCUACUCUCAGCUGCGGUUAAAAGAAGCCAAGAAGGGGAGAAGGAAAAA